UUGAGCUACACUACCGGGGACACCCGCAGAGGGACAUUGUGGAGCUGCAUGCUGAGGUCCAAUUCUCCAACCUUCGCUUUUCCUCCACCACAGUGGACUUUGGGUGUGUGCUUAACUGCACGGGGAGUCGUAGAGAGAUCUCAAUUACCAACUCCUCCCCGCUGCCCGUGUCCUACCGUUGGGCUUUCCUGGAGGACCACAAACACUGUGCCAUAAGGGACACAGAGAUGGU